rnacentral:rRNA from 1 species
CUUUACUGCAGCUUGACGUUGGAACUUGGCUGUAUUUGUGUAGGAUAGGUGGGAGACUUUGAAGCAGGGCCGCCAGGUCUUGCGGAGUCGUCGUUGAAAUACCACCCUGGUGCUGACGAGUUUCUAACCGCACCCGUAAGCCGGGUGUGAGACAUCGUCUGGUGGGCAGUUUGACUGGGGCGGUCGCCUCCUAAAAGGUAACGGAGGCAUUCAAAGGUUCCCUCAGCGUGGUCGGUAAUCACGCGAAGAGUGCAAACGCAUAAGGGAGCUUAACUGCGAGACCGACAGGUCGAGCAGGUACGAAAGUAGGAGUUAGUGAUCCCGCGGUUUAGCGUGGAAUUGCCGUUGCUCAAUGGAUAAAAGGUA